rnacentral:rRNA from 1 species
UACAGAGGUCUCGAGCGUUGUUCGGAUUCAUUGGGCGUAAAGGGUGCGUAGGUGGCGUGGUAAGUCGGGUGUGAAAUUUCGGAGCUUAACUCCGAAACUGCAUUCGAUACUGCCGUGCUUGAGGACUGGAGAGGAGACUGGAAUUUACGGUGUAGCAGUGAAAUGCGUAGAUAUCGUAAGGAAGACCAGUGGCGAAGGCGAAUCUCUGGACAGUUACUGACACUGAGGCACGAAGGCCAGGGGAGCAAACGGG